GACGAACCGUGCAAACGUUAUUCGGAAUCACUGGGCAUAAAGGGCGCGUAGGCGGCUUUCUAAGUCAGGGGUGAAAUCCGGCAGCUCAACUGUCGCAGUGCCUUUGAUACUGGAGAGCUCGAGGGAGGUAGGGGUCUGUGGAACUUCCGGUGGAGCGGUGAAAUGCGUUGAUAUCGGAAGGAACGCCGGUGGCGAAAGCGACGGACUGGAUCUCUUCUGACGCUGAGGUGCGAAAGCCAGGGGAGCAAACGGG
rnacentral:rRNA from 1 species